rnacentral:pre_miRNA from 1 species
GUAUUGCCGAGAGUUCCCUUCAAGCACUUUACAAAUGACCUUUUUGAGGUUUUAUGUAAAGUGCUUAGGGAACUCUCGGUGUAAU